AAGUUAUUGUCCUGGCAAUAGGAACGACCAUAAACAAGCCGUCGAGAGAUAUCGGAAGAGUUUUCUUUUCUGUUUUAUAGUCGUACUACCAUGGAAGUCUUUCGAAGAGAGAUAUGGUAGAUGGGCUAGAAGAGCAUGACAUUUACUGUUGUGUCGAUAUUUUCUCCUCGGAUCUUGAAACUUUAUGGUGGGGUCACGCAAACUU
rnacentral:ncRNA from 1 species